GACGAACGCUGGCGGCGUGCUUAACACAUGCAAGUCGAACGGAAAGGCCCUGCUUUUGUGGGGUGCUCGAGUGGCGAACGGGGGAGUAAAACGUGAGUAAACUGCCCUUGACUUUGGGAUAACUUCAGGAAACUGGGGCUAAUACCGGAUAGGAGCUACUGCUGCGUGGUGGGGGUUGGAAAGUUUCGGCGGUGGGGGAUGGACUAGCGGCUUAUCAGCUUGUUGGGGGGGUAGUGGCUUACCAAGGCUUUGACGGGUAGCCCGCCUGAGAGGGUGACCGGCCACCUUGGUACUGCGAUACGGACCAGACUCCUACGGGAGGCAGCAGUCGGGAAUAUUGCACAACGGGCGGAAGCCUGAGGCAACAACGCCCCGUGCGUAAUGACGGCCUUCGGGUUGUAAACCGCUUUCGCCUGUGACGAAGCGUGAGUGACGGUAAUGGGUAAAGAAGCACCGGCUAACUACGUG
rnacentral:rRNA from 1 species